rnacentral:rRNA from 1 species
AUACGGAGGGUGCGAGCGUUAAUCGGAAUUACUGGGCGUAAAGGGUCCGUAGGCGGUCUGCUUAGUCUGAUGUGAAAGCCCCGGGCUUAACCUGGGAAUGGCAUUGGAUACUGGCGGACUAGAGUCUGGUAGAGGGUGGUGGAAUUCCCGGUGUAGCGGUGAAAUGCGUAGAUAUCAGGAGGAACACCAGUGGCGAAGGCGGCCACCUGGACCAAGACUGACGCUGAGGGACGAAAGCGUGGGGAGCAAACAGGAUUAGAAACCCUAGUAGUCC